rnacentral:misc_RNA from 1 species
GAUGAAGAACGUAGCGAAAUGCGAUACGUAAUGUGAAUUGCAAAUUCAGUGAAUCAUCGCGUCUUUGAACGCACAUUGCGCCCCCUGGUAUUCCGGGGGGCAUGCCUGUCCGAGCGUCAUUGCUGCCCUCAAGCACGUCUUGUGUGUUGGGCCCCGUCCUCCGAUCCCGGGGGACGGGCCCGAAAGGCAGCGGCGGCACCGCGUCCGGUCCUCGAGCGUAUGGGGCUUUGUCACCCGCUCUGUAGGCCCGGCCGGCGCUUGCCGAUCAACCCAAAUUUUUAUCCAGGUUGACCUCGGAUCAGGUAGGGAUACCCGCUGAACUUAAGCAUAUCAAUAAGCGGAGGA